rnacentral:rRNA from 1 species
GAUGAACGCUGACAGAAUGCUUAACACAUGCAAGUCCACUUGAAUUUGGGUUUUUAACUUAGGUUUGGGUGGCGGACGGGUGAGUAACGCGUAAAGAACUUGCCUCACAGCUAGGGACAACAUUUGGAAACGAAUGCUAAUACCUAAUAUUAUGAUAAUAGGGCAUCCUAUAAUUAUGAAAGCUAUAAGCGCUGUGAGAGAGCUUUGCGUCCCAUUAGCUAGUUGGAGAGGUAACGGCUCACCAAGGCGAUGAUGGGUAGCCGGCCUGAGAGGGUGAUCGGCCACAAGGGGACUGAGACACGGCCCGUACUCCUACGGGAGGCAGCAGUGGGGAAUAUGGGACAAUGGACCAAGAGUCUGAUCCAGCAAUUCUGUGUGCACGAUGAAGUUUUUCGGAAUGUAAAGUGCUUUCAGUUGGGAGGAAAGAAAUGACGGUACCAACAGAAGAAGUGACGGCUAAAUACGUG